rnacentral:rRNA from 1 species
CCUACGGGGGGCAGCAGUGAGGAAUAUUGGUCAAUGGACGAGAGUCUGAACCAGCCAAGUAGCGUGAAGGAUGACUGCCCUAUGGGUUGUAAACUUCUUUUAUAUGGGAAUAAAACGUUCCACGUGUGGGAUUUUGUAUGUACCAUAUGAAUAAGGAUCGGCUAACUCCGUGCCAGCAGCCGCGGUAAUACGGAGGAUCCGAGCGUUAUCCGGAUUUAUUGGGUUUAAAGGGAGCGUAGGUGGAUUGUUAAGUCAGUUGUGAAAGUUUGCGGCUCAACCGUAAAAUUGCAGUUGAAACUGGCAGUCUUGAGUACAGUAGAGGUGGGCGGAAUUCGUGGUGUAGCGGUGAAAUGCUGAGAUAUCACGAAGAACUCCGAUUGCGAAGGCAGUUCACUGGACUGCAACUGACACUGAGGCUCGAAAGUGUGGGUAUCAAACAGGAUUAGAUACCCGAGUAGUC